rnacentral:rRNA from 1 species
GAUGAACGCUGGCGGCGUGCCUAAUACAUGCAAGUCGAACGAACUAAUUUAUUAGUGAGUGGCGAACGGGUGAGUAAUACAUAAGUAACCUGCCCCAGACAGGGGGAUAACUACUGGAAACGGUAGCUAAAACCGCAUAGGUAUGGGAAUCGCAUGAUUGCCAUAUUAAAAGUGCUAAGGCACUGGUAGAGGAUGGACUUAUGGCGCAUUAGCUAGUUGGUAGGGUAAAGGCUUACCAAGGCGACGAUGCGUAGGGGUUCUGAGAGGAAGGUCCCCCACACUGGAACUGAGACACGGUCCAGACUCCUACGGGAGGCAGCAGUGAGGAAUAUUGGUCAAUGGUCGGAAGACUGAACCAGCCAAGUCGCGUGAGGGAAGACAGCCCUAUGGGUUUUAAACCUCUUUUGUAAUGGAAGAAUAAGUCUUACGUGUAGGACGAUGCCAGUACAUUACGAAUAAGCAUCGGCUAACUCCGUGCCAGCAGCCGCAGUAAUAC